rnacentral:rRNA from 1 species
UACGUAGGGCGCAAGCGUUGUCCGGAAUCAUUGGGCGUAAAGAGCGUGUAGGCGGCCCGAUAAGUCCGCCGUGAAAGUCCAGGGCUCAACCCUGGAAUGCCGGUGGAAACUGUCGGGCUGGAGUCCGGAAGAGGCGAGUGGAAUUCCUGGUGUAGCGGUGAAAUGCGCAGAUAUCAGGAGGAACACCAAUGGCGAAGGCAGCUCGCUGGGACGGUACUGACGCUGAGACGCGAAAGCGUGGGGAGCAAACAGG